GACGAACGCUGGCGGCGUGCUUAACACAUGCAAGUCGAACGGAAAGGCCCUGCUUUUGUGGGGUGCUCGAGUGGCGAACGGGUGAGUAACACGUGAGUAACCUGCCCCUGACUUUGGGAUAACUUCAGGAAACUGGGGCUAAUACCGGAUAGGAGCUCCUGCUGCAUGGUGGGGGUUGGAAAGUUUCGGCGGUUGGGGAUGGACACGCGGCUUAUCAGCUUGUUGGUGGGGUAGUGGCUUACCAAGGCUUUGACGGGUAGCCGGCCUGAGAGGGUGACCGGCCACAUUGGAACUGGAAUACGGCCCGGACUCCUACGGGAGGCAGCGGUGGGGAAUAUUGCACAAUAGGCGGAAGCCUGAUGCAGCAACGCCGCGUGCGGGAUGACGGCCUUCGGGUUGUAAACCACUUUCGCCUGUGACGAAGCGUGAGUGACGGUAAUGGGUGAAGAAGCACCGGCUAACUACGUG
rnacentral:rRNA from 1 species